rnacentral:rRNA from 1 species
AGAGUUUGAUCAUGGCUCAGGAUGAACGCUAGCGGCAGGCUUAACACAUGCAAGUCGAGGGGUAUAGGUUUUCGGACCUAGAGACCGGCGCACGGGUGCGUAACGCGUAUGCAAUCUACCUUUCACAAAGGGAUAGCCCAGAGAAAUUUGGAUUAAUACCUUAUAGUAAUACGACUUGGCAUCAAGAUGUAUUUAAAGAUUUAUCGGUGAAAGAUGAGCAUGCGUCCCAUUAGCUUGUUGGUAAGGUAACGGCUCACCAAGACAUCGAUAGGUAGGGGUCCUGAGAGGGAGAUCCCCCACACUGGUACUGAGACACGGACCAGACUCCUACGGGAGGCAGCAGUGAGGAAUAUUGGACAAUGGGCGCAAGCCUGAUCCAGCCAUGCCGCGUGCAGGAAGACGGCCCUAUGGUUGUAAACUGCUUUUUAUACAGGAAGAAACACUCCCUCGUGAGGGAACUUGACGGUACUGUAUGAAUAAGCACCGGCUAACUCCGUGCCAG